GACCAGCCUGGCCGACAUGGUGAAACUACAUCUCUACUAAAAAUACAAAAAUUAUUGAUCACAACCAGUUACAGAUUUCUUUCUUCCUUCUCUACUCCCACUGCUUCAGUUGACUAGCCUUAA
rnacentral:sRNA from 1 species